UCUGACUGAACUAGCAAGGAGCAUUAGAGCCAAUGAGAAAAACUCAAAAGAAGAUACUUUGAAGAAUGCUGUUAAUCAAACCCAACAAGUUUGUCAGGUGCAGAAAUGAAAGCUCCCAAACAUAGAUGUCACCGGAUUAAGAAGUAGAAAGACAUGUUACACCACAACAACCAUAAAUCCUGAGCGAUUUGAA